UGAGCAGGAACUCUACAACCAUUAAGCCUACCGCUCCAUCCUUCCCAUUCUCCCACCCCCUGUGCUGUUUUUUUUUUACCUAAACAAGAUUUCCGCCUGGCCCUUCGCACUGUCUCCUCAUGCCCCAUGUACACAUCUCUGGAGGCGCAGGAUAGUGAGCUGCAGUAAUGGAGCUCGCAUGUAUAUGGCAGCUAUUCCAUGAGGCCCUUGACGCCCUCACACCUUAGCCUCGCUGACAGGAGGCAGAGCCAGGAAUCCACGGAGCCUAAGGGGCUAAGCUUGGCCCUCGGGAUGUUGCCUGGCCCCACAGCUUCCCCCACAGGGAAGGGACCAGGACCCAGACCCCCAGGCUCUUCCACCGUCAGGGCUGCCUCAGGCUCUGACCAGUGUCCUUGCCCUCUUCCUGUCCACCCUGUCUCCAUGGGGAGCAUUCCUGGAGAAUCUCCAUGUGACAGUGGGGAGAGAACAGAAGCCUCCCUGAAGCAGCCUGGGUGCCAAUCCCUGGCUUGUCUGUGGCUGUUUCCCACAGGAGCUCCGUGCGAUUACUGAUCCGCAAAGUACAGCAUGGCCCACUUGAGAUGGGUCCCCAGCCCCGAGCUGAGGCGGCCUGGCAGUUCUUCAUGUCUGACAAGCCCCUGCACCUUGCGGUCUCUCUCAACAAAGAGAUCUAUUUCCAUGGGGAGCCCAUCCCUGUGACCGUGACUGUCACCAAUAACACAGAGAAGACCGUGAAGAAGAUUAAAGCAUUCGUGGAACAGGUGGCCAAUGUGGUUCUCUACUCGAGUGAUUAUUACGUCAAGCCCGUGGCUAUGGAGGAAGCGCAAGAAAAAGUGCCGCCAAACAGCACUUUGACCAAGACGCUGACGCUGCUGCCCUUGCUGGCUAACAAUCAAGAAAGGAGAGGCAUUGCCCUGGAUGGGAAAAUCAAGCACGAGGACACAAACCUUGCCUCCAGCACCAUCAUUAAGGAGGGCAUAGACCGGACCGUCCUGGGGAUCCUGGUGUCUUACCAGAUCAAGGUGAAGCUCACAGUGUCAGGCUUUCUGGGAGAGCUCACCUCCAGUGAAGUCGCCACUGAGGUCCCAUUCCGCCUCAUGCACCCUCAGCCUGAGGACCCAGGUCAGUUAUGUCCUUUUUUAGCUUUCUUUAAUUAUUUGCUACUUGCAGAUUUAUUGUUGAUGUAUUUCUAGUCUUUCUUGACCGCAUCUCAGAGCAUGGGAGUGGCCAGGUGUAAGAGAUUCCAUGUGAUCUACAAGGUGAAUAGUCUGGGGGGAAGGGAGGGCCCAUCUGUUCAGCGCUGAGCCGGGUAGAUUAUCCACCUUCAGCUGGAGUCUGCAAGAUGUAGCAUCCUUGCUCUUGGACAGGGACAAUCUCGUGAGGUUUUAUCAUGAAUGAUUUAAGAGCAGAAGCUCUGCUGUCAACAGACCUGGAUUUAGAAUUAAAGAUGAUUUAGGUAAAAACUUAAUUUGAGAGCAUGAGGAUUUUGCAUUUCAUUUGGAAACAAAAGGCCUCAUGUUUCAUUUGAAAGCAUUAACAGACAUUUAAAAGAAGAUAAUUUUUUUUUUUUGAGACGGAGUCUCACUCUGUCACCCAGUCUGGAGUGCAGUGGUGUGAUCAAGCUUACUACAGCCUCAACCUCCUGGGCUCAACCCACCCUCCUACCUCAGCUUCUGAAGUAGCUGGAACUACAGGCAUACCACCACCCUCAGCUAAUGUUUUUGAUUUUUAGUAGAGAUGAGGUCUUGCCAUGUUGCUCAGGCUAGUCUUGAACUCCUGAGCUCAAGUGAUCUUUCUGCCUCAUCCUCCCAAAGUGCUGGGGUUAUAGGCAUGAGCCACCGCACCUGGCUGAAGAUAACUGUUUUUUUUGGGUUUUUUUUUUUUUUUUUUUUUUUUUUUUUCUGAGAUGGAGUCUCUGUCACCCAGCUGGAGUGCAGUGGCACAACCUUGGCUCACUGCAACCUCUGCCUCCCGGGUUCAAGUGAUUCUCGUGCCUCAGCCUCCUGAAUAGCUGGGAUUACAGGCACCUGCCACCCCACCUGGCUAAUUUUUGUAUUUUUAGUAGAGACGGGGUUUCGCCAUGUCGGCCAGGCUAGUUUUGAACUCCUGACCUCAGGUGAUCCACCCGCCUCAGCCUCCCAAAGUGCUGGGAUUACAGGCGUGAGUCACGGCGCCCGGCCUGAAGAUAACUAUUUUUGACAGUGGCAGUUAUGGUAAGAAUACAGAAAAUACUAGAAAAGAGGGUCAGGCUGGGUUCCUGACACCUCAGCUCAUUUGAAUUAUAAAUCUACUGGCUCUUGUAUGGAUGCGAAAUGAUGCAAUAGUUGUAUGACUCUGAAAACAUAUAAAAACCAGUAGACUGUCGACUGUGAAAAGGUAAAUUGUAUGAUAUAUGAAUUUGAUCUCAAUCAUUCUCUUUCUAAAAAGGUAAAUGAAGCAGCAAAAAUAAUAUAGGUGAAAUCUCAGAAAUUCUGAAGAAACAUUCUCUGCAUUGAGGCAGCUUAGUUGAUGGGAAAGAAAAACAGAUCUGUCUAAAGGAGAACUCUCCAUAGGUAUAGGAAUAAGGGAUAUUUUAAGUAAAAGUGGUAUAAACAAGCAGGGUUUAUUUUUCUCAUACUUUACAAAUAGCUUUUCUAUAUUGGUAGUGAAAUGCCGUUUAAACAUUAGAAUGAGCCCCCACUAUUCAUUUUAGGUUUUGUCUCAACAGUACUUUGUUUCAAAAUAGCUCUUCCAAAUAUUUUGCAUUCAGACCCUCAAUGAACUUUUCCAAAACUGUCCCUUGGAGAAAAAUGUAGUCUAGCUAUAUGUUUUCAAUUCAUUUAUGCUUGUGUCAUUAAAAUAUUACUUUUUAAUGGUGUGAGAUUAAGAUGCUUUCUGGUUCCUUUCAAGGACAUUAAAAAGAUAGUCACUUGAGGAGAUGUCAUAGUUUAUGUUGGGUUGUUUUCUGGAACUUUGAGUAGACUUUAUGCCUUAAUUUUUUUUUGAGACAUAGUCUCAUUCUGUCACCCAGGCUAGAGUGCAGUGGCAUGAUCUCGGUUCACUGCAACCUCCGCCUCCCGAGUUCAAGUGAUUCUCCUGUCUCAACCUCCCGAGUAGCUGGGAUUACUGGCAGGCGCCAGCACGCCUGGCUAAUUUUUGUAUUUUUAGUAGAGAUGGGUUUUCACCAUGUUGGCCAGGCUGGUCUCAAACUCUUGGCCUCAGAUGAUCUGCCCGCCUCAGCCCUCCAAAGUGCUGGGAUUACAGGCGUGAGCCACCGUGCCCGGCCUGACUUAAUUUUUAAAAAUUCUUUUCCAUAUACAACUUUCACGUUCCAGUCAUUAUGGCCUUAACAGUGAACAUAUCACAAUGUCAGGAUGAAACAAUGAUCUUUUGUACUGUGAGAUUUCUGGGAGCAAAGGUUAAGACAAAUCACCCCAUGGUUACAAAAUUCUGAUUUCUAGAGAUAUGAGAUAGAUAUGAGAUAGAUGAGAUUUCUAGAGAUAAAUGUCAUCUCUCCUGUCUUCUCUGCCUAGUUCUCGGCUCCCUGAGUCUAGGCUGGUAGGAUUCUAAGCAGAGAAAGCAUAAGCUAUAUGUAGUUAAGCCCUGCUGGAGCCUGGGGACCAAGUAAUUUGUGUGUAAUAAGUGCUGUGACAUGCUACCAAGUUUUUAUUGUCCCCUGUCAAGGGCAUCUUUACUGAAUCCGAAGAUGCUGAUUUGAUUCUUCCUUGUUGUCUACCUCUGCAAGGCUGAUGGUCCCGCUUAGUGUCAUUUCUUCACUGAGCACUGUGGGCCGCAGGGUAUUUCUUGCCCAGGGGAUGUUUUGACAAGCUAGCCUCUCUAGGGCCCCUGUACGUAGCGACCCUCAUAGACACUCCCUCCCAGUGCUGGCUUCCAGGUGGGCACCAGAGGCGAGAGUAGGGACUCACCAUCAAAUCGCCGCUGUGCUCCCCAAAACUAGGUGGGCAGAAAGCUAAAAAAGUACAAAAACCAUUCAAAUUAAUAGCAGUUAGUCUGGGGAUACAACACAUGUGAAAACAUAACUCAACAACAACAAAAUCAAUAUGUUAACAGAAAUUGAAAACUUUGCGGCUGGGGGUUGGUCCUCAAGCUUUAAUGCACACCCUAACCCUGGGGUGCUGGUGAAUGUCAAGUCCCAGGUCUCAGGCCUCUGAAGCCUGACAGAUGGAGGUGCCAGGGUGCACAUGCUCACGGCACCCUGGCGACCCUGACCUCAAUGGGGUCCAGAGGACAUGGAAGGAGAAAUACUUUGAAAGGCGAAGCAACUGGCUGGGCAGGGAGGCCAAGGCGGGCGGAUCACUUGAGGUCAGGAGUUCGAGACCAGCCUGGCCAACACGGUGACACCCCGUCUCUACUAAAAAUACAAAAAUUAGCCAGGCAUGGUGGUGGGUGCCUGUAAUCCCAGCUACUUGGGAGGUUAAGACAGGAGAAUCACUUGAACCUGGGAGACGGAGGUUGCAGUGAGCCGAGAUUGUGCCACUUCACUCCAGCCUGGGCAACAGAGCAAGAUGCCAUCUCAAAUAAAUAAGAAAGGAGAAGCGACAUCAGAGGGGGCAAGGCUGAUCAGGGAAAGCAUCCUAGAGGUGAGACUGGGGGGGUUUCAUGUGAGGAGGUGAAGGCUGUGGCACAUUGUAAAGGAAGCAGUGAUUUAAAAUGCAAGGAGAGGCCGGGCGCAGUGGCUCACGCCUGUAAUCCCAGCACUUGGGAGGCUGAGGCGGGCAGAUCACUUGAGGUCAGGAGUUUGAGACCAGCCUGGCCAACAUACUUGAAACCCCUUCUCUACUAAAGAUACAAAAAUUAGCCAGGCAUAAUGGCGCGUGCCUGUAAUCCCAGCUACUUGGGAGCCUGAGGCACGAGAAACUCUUGAAACCAGGAGGCAAAGGUUGCAGUGAGCAGAGAUUGUGCCACUGCAUUCCAGCCUGGGUGACAGAGAGAGACAGUCUCAAAUAAAAUAAAAUAAAAUAAAAUAAAAUAAAAUAAAAUAAAAUAAAAUAAUAAAAUAAAAUAAAAUAAAAUAAAAUAAAUAAA
rnacentral:sRNA from 1 species